rnacentral:lncRNA from 1 species
UUUUUUGUUUGUUUGUUUGUUUUUUUGAGGUAUUCCUAAAAAUAGGGAUGUUUGAGACUGAAUACAGAUAAUUUGAAAAGUCAUCAGAAGAUGCUCAACGUGCAUCAUGACCUGAACAUCACCAAAGAAAGGAGCAGGGACCUUCAGGAACUGGAAAGGGUUCUGUCAACUCCAGACUUUCAGUAUAUUACUGAACGUGUAACACACGGGCAACCUCUCUUUUGGAGUAUGUCCCACAGAUAUUAUCUCAUUUUACAAGGGGCUUCUGAGAUGAUUAGUAACUUGCCCACAGUCAUCCAGAUAGUAGGAAGGAAGAUAUUAGUCCACUAAGGAAGAUGUUAAUCGGAAUUCAGCGCUAAGCAGGGUUGACUGUUAUUCAGCUGAGCCCUCUGCUUCUUCCUGCCGCCCAGAUAAUGCCACCUACACCCCUACCUUUUUUUUCUCCAAGCUUUAUAAGCUCUUUUCCAGUUUUUUUCCCAUGGGCUCUUUCAUAAUUAUCCAUACGAAUGAAGCAAGGACAAGAAACAAGUCUGCUCUGUAACCUAAACCUCGCUGGAGAGGAAAUGGAAAUCCUUGUCUUGACCUGCCCGGCCUCCUCUAGGUCAUUGUGACGAACAAGAGCUUAAUAAGAUCAGG